rnacentral:rRNA from 1 species
CCCAGACAGCCAGGAUGUUGGCUUAGAAGCAGCCAUCAUUUAAAGAAAGCGUAAUAGCUCACUGGUCGAGUCGGCCUGCGCGGAAGAUGUAACGGGGCUAAACCAUGCACCGAAGCUGCGGCAGCGACACUAUGCGUUGUUGGGUAGGGGAGCGUUCUGUAAGCCUGCGAAGGUGGCCUGUGAGGGUUGCUGGAGGUAUCAGAAGUGCGAAUGCUGACAUAAGUAACGAUAAAGCGGGUGAAAAGCCCGCUCGCCGGAAGACCAAGGGUUCCUGUCCAACGUUAAUCGGGGCA